CCUCGCCCCUCCGCCUCCUCUCCUCCCCACUCCCUCCUCUCCCAGGCCGCCGCCCUCGACACACCUCCAUAGCGCCAUCGACACGUCGGGGAUAGGCAGUGGUGGAGCGCAGCCCGAGCUCAGCAGCACUCCACUCCUAACUCGAGCAAGAGCGGGCAGUGGAUUGGAUCGAGGGAGCCCUCGCGGCCACGCCGCUGGCGCCUGGAUUUCCUAGCCGUCACGUGGAUCCACCCUAGCCGCCGCCUCGAGUCACCUCCAUCGUUGAUGUGGGUCAACUCCACCGCUGCCGCCAGGAAUCCCAUCCCGGUAAGGGGGCUUGUCCUUCCGUGGUGGUCAUCCGCCGUUUGAGAUUGGAGGGAGACUAGGAGACCCUGGCGGAAUCGAGCCUGCUAGCAGAGGCUCCAAGGAUGUUGGGUGAUAGGGCCCAUUCCAUGCCCCGGUUGUGCUGCUGGGAUUUUCAGGAAGAGCCUUCCUACCCAAAAUUAUUGGAUAAAUUCAACAUAUCUGUGGAAAUCUAGUUUUCUGCAGAUUCAUACGCCUCUGAAUGUUGUUCCAUAACUGAUGACUCAAAGUGAUUAUACACUGAAACCGAAGCCUUUGGAAAAUGAAACAGAAACCUUACUUAAGAGCAGGCAGAGGCGUGGAGCCAAUGGUGAUGUUGUUGUUGCCUGCUCUUCUAAACUGCUGCUUGUUCAUCGUUUGCUGUUUUGCCUAUCAAGCAAGAAGGUAACUACUCAAAGCAGUUGGCAAGACAAGCAUUCGAUGGAGCUCAAGCGUUGAUCUUAAGGAAGGUAACUACUCAAAGGUAUGCACCUAUUCAUGUUGGAGCAGUUAAGUUUGCAAGGAUUUGCUGCUGGAGGGCAUGGUAUGUGCUCUCAAGAAGUUCUUCGUGAUCCGGUGACAUCUUUUGGCCUAUUAGGGAACUGGACAUGAUUUAUAUUGCGAAGUUCAAUGUAUGGAUGACAACUUCCUCUCAUAUCUGUUCUGUAUAUUUUAUAUACAUGGCUUUUGUGUUCUAUCAUGUGCGCUCCUGCCGCAGACUUUUGCAGAGAAAUUCACCAUGAGUUAGAAUGUAUAUAUUUUCAACUACAGCCUUUUUUUCAAAAGGCAAAAGAAUUUCUGCAUGAUCACAUGUCAUGAUUAUUUCCAUGAAAAAUGCUUUAGACAGUACAAAAAUGCUUUAGACAAUACAAAAAUGCUUUAGACUGUACAAAAUUGUAAAGGAAUCAUGGGGCACUGUUGUAUGUCGCUGCUGAACAGAAGCAGGAUGCAACCAUAAAGAUUUUGUUGAAUCACCAUUCAGAUGCAAGUCCCAUUAAAUGUCUCUUUAUCAUUAUCUUAAAUCACAUUCCUUUAUAGUUUUCUCACUGUUAUAUUUGAUAAUCUUUGAUUGUCUGCUUUCUCCAUUUUCCAGUUAGUUGAAUCUCGACAGUAAAUUAGUUAGUAUUUUGUUUUAUCUCUGAAAUCUCGAGAAGUACACAAGUUGUUAGGUGUAGAAAAGUACACAAGUUGUUAACAUUUGAAAUUAGAUUUACGUUCGCCUUUUACUCAUUCUAUUUUUUGCAUAAUUGUGUCCUGUCUGUCAAGACAUGCUGAAAAGCUAGCUGUUCUGCAGCAAGCAGAGAGUCAUGGGCUCUUUCUGCGAGUCACCUGCUUCUCAUGUACAAAUAUUUCACCAUCUAAGUUUGAAAUAAAAUUGUACAUCAAAGAUAUCAAUGAUUUGCCAAGACUCCAAAGUCUUGUUGUUAUUUUUUGUAACUUCUGAUCUUGAACUUUGAUCGACAGAUAGUUAUGACUCUUCGACAUCAGAAAAUAUUUUAGUUUAUUUUGGGGUGGAUGUUAUUGUGGUAUCAAUACGGCUUCAUUCCACUUUAUCUAGCGCGGCACAGGUCAAUAACUACUUCCUUUGAUUUCUUCAUCAUGAAUACCUAUAUGCAUUUAUUAAAAAGCCUUUAUUGUUCGUAUUGAGUGAAUAAGAACUGCAGUAGUUUCUCAAUGUGGAGGCCAUUAUAUUACGAUAUAAGAUGGACUGCUGAAGGGCGAUGUAUCCUUUUGGGGUUAAAGAUAUAAAGAACUACCUGGCUUAUGAGGUUGAAGAGAGAUCAAAUGGCUUCUUUUGGUUCUUGAAGGCCUGCACUUUCCUGGUGGAGCAGCAGCAAAAUAAUUCAGAGGCUUUAAAGCUACUCCACUUCAUGUAGUUAGGAUCAAUUCUUUGUUUUGGUUUGAAAUACUCCCCAGUCCCUCCUAUUUGAUUGAUUCAUCUAAUGGUCAUUUUGCCAGGCAAAUAAAUAGAAGGCAGAUGUUUUUUUUUUGGAGAGUAUGGCAUAUGUAUUGUUACAGAGUGAAGCCAUCCAUACAAGUCGAUAUAUUAAUAACCCCAUAUGUGGAAUUCAAGAUAUAGAGAAAUGUUCCUUGUUCUACUAAUCGGUUGCUUGACCAAAUGUACUGUAAAUGGUGUUAUUAUUGUUCAAGAUAUAGAUAAAUGUUAUUGUUCUUCAUUGUAGUGGAUGAUAUCCAUCCUAAUUAUCGAGAUGAUGUAAGUACUACUUAGGAGUUUUGUCUCUGACCGAACAAGUUGUUGAGGAAGAAGGGAUAAAUAAGUGCCCAGAAGAAGGGAUUAGUAAGUUGCUUGAUUCAUGGGCCGAACUGGUUGCCAUACGACUGCUUAGAAAUAUACAUGCAUUUAAGUGGCACAAAAGCACAAAAACAAAGUUGAUAGAAACACUACUCUUUCUAAAAUAUUUUAAGGCCUCCAUAACAGGUUUUAUACAUGGUGUUAAGUAUACAUAUGUUCUCAAGGGGUUUUAUUUCCUGGCAUUUUGAACCCAAGGGGGUUUUCUCUGUCAAAUCAGCUUAUAAAAUUCAGUUUGGUAUUACCCAGCAACAAGCUAACCGUGCUACUGGUGAAGGCUCAGCGGGCUCGCAGUGGAGGAAAGGGGACGGGCACGCGGUAUGGAAAGCUCAUUGCCCUCCCAAAGUAAAACACUUCUUAUGGAGGUUCGCUCAUGAUAGCCACCUCUUGCUAAUGAAUAUAGAAAGACGGGGUGUGGAGCUGGAUACUCGUUGCUGCGUUUGCAGACAUCUAUUUGAAGGUGGCGGCCAUCUUUUCCUUCGCUGUAAGGAAGUCAAAAAAGUUUGGCGAACCACCCAGCUAGAGGGUGUGAGACAGGAGCUGCUUUUGUGUCAAGCUCCGUUGGAGAUUCUUGAGCGUAUUUUUGCACAACCGGAAAAGAUCAAGCAUGAAGAAUUUAGCGCACAACUGUCUUUUGAUGUUGCUGAAUGGUGCCAGUUUUUUACGCCCUCUCCAAAGCCUUUAUACAGGAUACGAGCAAGUGGAAACCGCCACCUGAGUUCGUAAAGAUCAACCUGGACAGUGCAUACGAUCCAGAAUCUGGUACGGGAGGUUGGGGCUGCAUCGCUAUAGCGCCGGACGGAAAUAUCCUGUUCGCAGCCGCUGGACUGCUCAGUAACUUGUCUGAACCGUUAGAGGCCGAAAGCAAUCCGUUUUUGAAGACGAUCGAC
rnacentral:rRNA from 1 species